CGAAUUUUUGAAUUCUUUGUUUUCAUUCUUUCCUUCGUACUAAAAACAAGCGGGCGAUCACAUAUUUUACUUGCAUAGAAGGGCAGACAAAAAUAAAACUGAUACAAGCGAAAAAUAUAACCGAUCUAGUAUAUUUACUAUGUACAACUGGUACGUAUAAACAUAGUCUGCCAAGAAAAGAAUUAUCAAAUUAUAGAACAACAGAUAAUCGAAGCUAAAACGAAAGUGUGUGGUCGCAAAGAUAUGACUUUGCAAAUUUGCAAUUGUGUGACCAUAAAAAUGGUCAAACCAAGAAGCACGCAAAAUACGACAUUUAGUAUCGCUGGGAAUAUCUACAUACUUGGGGAAUCGUAAAAAAUAUUGAGUGCACUAUCUACUAUAACAGUUAGAAGGCUUUUAAUCUAGAAUUAAUUAGAAGAAGCGAAUUGCGUCUAUGUAAAAUUGCAGUUUUCCAAAAAUUGUACAUAUGCAAUUGCACAUAUGGUGCACCUUCCCUAUGUGCAUAUCUAUUUGUCCAUACGCUUUUUAUUUCCAUCCAUACAUAUGUAUGUACACUCAUGUAUACAUAUAAAUAUUCGCAUUUGCGUAUGCAUUCGGACUACAAC